GAUGAACGCUAGCGGCAGGCUUAAUACAUGCAAGUCGAGGGGCAGCAUGGGUAGCAAUACCUGAUGGCGACCGGCAAACGGGUGCGGAACACGUACGCAACUUUCCCAGAACUGGUGAAUAGCCCUCCGAAAGGAGGAUUAAUACACCGUAAGAUAGAGAUGUGGCAUCACAUUUUUAUUAUAGCUCCGGCGGCUUUGGAUGGGCGUGCGCCUGAUUAGGUAGUUGGCGGGGUAACGGCCCACCAAGCCUACGAUCAGUAACUGGUGUGAGAGCACGACCAGUCACACGGGCACUGAGACACGGGCCCGACUCCUACGGGAGGCAGCAGUAAGGAAUAUUGGUCAAUGGACGCAAGUCUGAACCAGCCAUGCCGCGUGAAGGAUGAAGGCCCUCUGGGUUGUAAACUUCUUUUAUCUGGGACGAAAAAGGGGCAUUCUUGCUCAACUGACGGUACCAGAGGAAUAAGCACCGGCUAACUCCGUGCCAGCCGCCGCCGUAAAAC
rnacentral:rRNA from 1 species